GCCCUAGUAGCUUAGCCAUU
rnacentral:tRNA from 1 species